CAGGAAACUAGUGGCUGCUAGAAUGCGUAUAUAGAAGAAGAAAGAACCUGUCAUCCUCAGGCCAAAUGAUGAGCCUAUUUAAGUGACAUGUUGGUUACAUUUCUAAUGAUGUGUUAAAUUGGCCUUAGGUAACCAGGUCAUAAGUUCUGGAGGCUGGAAUGUCCAAGAUGAAGGUGCUGGGAGCUCUGAUUUCUGUGUCCAGAAGGUGAACAUCGUGAUGGGAGAUGUAGUAGCUGCCAGACCUCAUGAUGGAAGGUGCGUUUUGAGGACGGCUAAGCAACAUGAUUGAAGAUGUCUGAGUCUUUGAUACUACGGAGCAGCAACAACACCCUUGGACCACCAAUACUCUCAGAUUCAUAUGUCAAAGAGAAAUAAACUUU